GAUGAACGCUGGCGGCGUGCCUAAUACAUGCAAGUCGAGCGAACAGACGAGGAGCUUGCUCCUCUGACGUUAGCGGCGGACGGGUGAGUAACACGUGGAUAACCUACCUAUAAGACUGGGAUAACUUCGGGAAACCGGAGCUAAUACCGGAUAAUAUAUUGAACCGCAUGGUUCAAUAGUGAAAGACGGUUUUGCUGUCACUUAUAGAUGGAUCCGCGCCGCAUUAGCUAGUUGGUAAGGUAACGGCUUACCAAGGCGACGAUGCGUAGCCGACCUGAGAGGGUGGUCGGCCACACUGGAACUGAGACACGGUCCAGACUCCUACGGGAGGCAGCAGUAGGGAAUCUUCCGCAAUGGGCGAAAGCCUGACGGAGCAACGCCGCGUGAGUGAUGAAGGUCUUCGGAUCGUAAAACUCUGUUAUUAGGGAAGAACAAAUGCGUAAGUAACUAUGCACGUCUUGACGGUACCUAAUCAGAAAGCCACGGCUAACUACGUG
rnacentral:rRNA from 1 species